rnacentral:tRNA from 1 species
UGUGGCCCAAUGAAUAAGGCGUUGGUCUACGGAACCAAAGAUUUUGGGUUUGAUCUCUAACACCCCCACCCUCCCCUUUGCAAAUCCCACCACCACCA